rnacentral:ncRNA from 1 species
GCAAAUGCGAAGAAGGUGUCAGUAGCAUUCUGUUUUCCGUCAGAGAGGAAGGGCCGUCGGCUGGAAGCCCGUCCGGGUUCAGACAGAAAUGUGAAUUUCCCACCGGAGCAGCAUUCCUGAACGGGGAGUAGGGAAUGACGUUUUCUGCACGUUACGCAGCUUGAGUGUCCGGUGUAAGCCGGGAAUCAGGGUGGUACCACGGAAUAUGAACUUCGUCCCUUUU